AACGAACGCUGGCGGCAUGCUUAACACAUGCAAGUCGAACGAUACCUUCCGGUCUAGUGGCGCACGGGUGCGUAACGCGUGGUAACCCGUCCUUAGGCUGGGAACAACUCUCCGAUAGGGCUGCUAAAAUCGGACUAUUUCUUCGGAUCAAAGGUUUAUCGCUUUUGGCUGGGGGCGCGUUGGAUUAGCUAGUUGGUAGGGUAAAGGCCUGCCAAGGCGACGAUCCAUAGCUGGCCUGGGAGGAUGAUCAGCCGGACUGGGACUGAGACACGGCCCAGACUGCUACGGGAAGCAGCGGAGGGGGAUAUAGGAGGAUGAGCGAGAGCCUGAUCCAGCAAUGCCGCGUGGGUGGUGAAGGCGUUAGGAUUCUAAUGCUCUUUUGCCCGAGAUGAUAGUGACGGUACCGGGAGAAGAAGCACCGGCUAACUCCGUG
rnacentral:rRNA from 1 species